GGACUACCGGGGUUUCUAAUCCUGUUUGAUCCCCACGCUGUCGCGCCUGAGCGUCAGUAACGGGCCAGUGAGCCGCCUUCGCCACCGGUGUUCUUCCCAAUAUCUACGAAUUUCACCUCUACACUGGGAAUUCCACUCACCUCUCCCGUACUCAAGCUCCACAGUUUCGAAGGCAGUUCCAGAGUUGAGCUCUGGGCUUUCACCCUCGACUUGAGAAGCCGCCUGCGCGCGCUUUACGCCCAGUAAUUCCGAACAACGCUAGCCCCCUUCGUAUUACCGCGGCUGCUGGCAC
rnacentral:rRNA from 1 species